GUCGGACACUCAACCAACUGAGCCACCCAGGCGCCCCUGCUGGUGCCUGAACAGGGAACCUGAAGGGGGACGUGUGCAGCACCACUGAAGAAGGGCCCAGGGAACCGAAGGAAACUUUGGAGCUGGGGAAGCUCAUCCUUCAGGAUUUCUGCAGGAUUGUUUUUCAGUUCUUCUACUGCCAGAUGAUAGAGAAAAAUUUGCCUGUUCUGUACCUUCAGACAAUCAUAUGGUUCCUGUGUGAUGCCAUCCAUGGAAAGGGCUUCUGCAAGAUCAAGGCUACCAGUGGUUACCCAGUCACCGGUUGAAACCCAGGCAUGAGCUGAUCCAAGCAACCGCAGUUCGACAUGACCCCACCAAAGAGUUUCACAGAAUGUCCACUGAGAAACCAAUAAUUGUGCCCAGUGCACCACACCCUCUCCUGAGGAGCACUAGGACCUCUUAGCCUCCUACUCAGGGACAAGUUAAGAGGUUGAUGCACGCUGCUGAAAAAAUCUUGAUGCAGACUCGCAGCCCACAAAACUCCUGCUCACCUUUUCCUUGCGAUGCUCGUGGUUAUCACUACUAUGUCUGGUGCCAGGGACAAUGAGCCUGUCAACGGACCAACAGCUUGGGUUAUACAAUGUCCUCCUAUAGCCCAUUGUAUAUAAACAAAAAGGGGGAGAUGUUGGAGAACAAGAAACCAGAGGCACGUAAGGAUGUCUUGAAGGAAAGGGACGGAGCAGCGAGGAACCAAAAGCAGUUUUAUCCCCAGGACGGAAGGCCGCCGGGACUGCUCAUUUUCUCCAGAAGGACAUCAUACGGGUGGCCAGGACUGGGGAUAAGAAUGUUUUGUCUGUCACCAGAUGUACUCAUGACCCAGUAUGGAAUACACUGCAAGUGCACAACCUGUCAAGAUGCCACAUACUAUGUUGUAAUGGCUUGUUAUCAAUUUGCAAACAUAAAAGAGGCUUGAGCCAGAGGACCAAUGCUUUGGCUCCUGGAGAGUCUCAGCCCCCUGCUUUGUAAUUCUCUCAUCACCACACCUUCAGGACCUGUCUCUCUACACAAGUAUGUGAAUAUCUUUGGGUUUUCAGAUACUGUGCUGGCCAGUUGUUUGAGAGAGCUGCUGGGGUCCUCUGGAGAGCAAAUCACUUGGAACCAAUGUCGCUCCUGCUGUGUGACUGUUACUGGUAGCCAAGGCUCUUCUUUUUUUGUUCCUAGCCUUCUCUGUACAUCUCAGGUUUGCUAGUGUCUGAAUGAAGUGCAACAGAAGUAGGUCCCUUGUGUGGUGCCUCAAAAGCCUGGAGAAACUGGUUGGUCACCCUGCUCUCCCUUUUCCAGUUAGGGAAAUGCUUUCUGGCCAGAGUGUUUCUGCUUGGUACUGAGCAGUGCCCAACUGGAAGACCAGUGAUGCAAGCAAAAUUAAGAUAUUUUUCCUUUCCUUUGUGUGCACUUAUGCUCAGGGUUUUCUUCCCCACUGUGUUGCUGUUAUUUCCUAAGUGGACCCCUGAGCUAUCCCAGAGAGCUUUUUGUUUGUGGGUAGAUGGCUAAUCGUAGAUCUCUGUGGGAAAACAGAAGGUAGGGCCUCCUAUUUCACCAUCUUGGUGAUGCCACUUCAGCUGUCUUAGUAUGCUAAAUGAGUUGAAAUCAUGGGAAAAAAAUUAAAAUCAGGAAGAUGUGAA